GUGCCAGCAGCCGCGGUAAGACGGAGGGAGCAAGCGUUGUCCGGAUUUACUGGGCGUAAAGAGCGCGUAGGCGGCCCUUUAAGUCGGCUGUGAAAGCGCUGGGCUCAACCCAGCAAGUGCAGUCGAUACUGAUGGGCUCGAGUUCGGGAGAGGGAAGCGGAAUUGCUGGUGUAGCGGUGGAAUGCGUAGAUAUCAGCAAGAACACCGGUGGCGAAGGCGGCUUCCUGGACCGAUACUGACGCUGAGGCGCGAAAGCUAGGGGAGCGAACGGGAUUAGAAACCCCUGUAGUCC
rnacentral:rRNA from 1 species